rnacentral:rRNA from 1 species
UGCCAGCAGCCGCGGUAAUACGUAAGUCGCAAGCGUUGUUCGGAAUUAUUGGGCGUAAAGAGCAUGUAGGCGGACUGUUAAGUCUGGCGUGAAAGCCCGGGGCUCAACCCCGGAAGUGCGUUGGAUACUGGCAGUCUUGAGUAUGGGAGAUGAAAGUGGAAUUCCGAGUGUAGGAGUGAAAUCCGUAGAUAUUCGGAGGAACACCAGUGGCGAAGGCGGCUUUCUGGACCGAUACUGACGCUGAGACGCGAAAGCGUGGGGAGCAAACAGGAUUAGAUA